rnacentral:rRNA from 1 species
CCUACGGGUGGCAGCAGUGAGGAAUAUUUGUCAAUGGGCGCGAGCCUGAACCAGCCAAGUAGCGUGAAGGAUGACUGCCCUACGGGUUGUAAACUUCUUUUAUAAAGGAAUAAAGUGAGGCACGUGUGCCUCUUUGUAUGUACUUUAUGAAUAAGGAUCGGCUAACUCCGUGCCUGCAGCCGCGGUAAUACGGAGGAUCCGAGCGUUAUCCGGAUUUAUUGGGUUUAAAGGGAGCGUAGAUGGGUUGUUAAGUCAGUUGUGAAAGUUUGCGGCUCAACCGUAAGAUUGCAAUUGAUACUGGCAGUCUUGAGUACAGUUGAGGUAGGCGGAAUUCGUGGUGUAGCGGUGAAAUGCUUAGAUAUCACGAAGAACUCCGAUUGCGAAGGCAGCUUACUAAACUGCAACGGACGUUGAGGCUCGAAAGUGAGGGUAUCGAACAGAAUUAGAUACCCGUGUAGUC